rnacentral:rRNA from 1 species
GGGUCGUAAACCCCUUUCAGCAGGGACGAAAUUGACGGUACCUGCAGAAGAAGCGCCGGCCAACUACGUGCCAGCAGCCGCGGUAAUACGUAGGGCGCAAGCGUUGUCCGGAUUCAUUGGGCGUAAAGGGCUCGUAGGCGGUUUGGUAAGUCGGGUGUGAAAACUCAGGGCUCAACUCUGAGACGCCACUCGAUACUGCCAUGACUAGAGUCCGGUAGGGGAGUGUAGAAUUCCUGGUGUAGCGGUGAAAUGCGCAGAUAUCAGGAGGAAUACCGAUAGCGAAGGCAGCACUCUGGGCCGGUACUGACGCUGAGGAGCGAAAGCGUGGGGAGCAAACAGGAUUAGAUACCCUGGUAGUCCACGCCGUAAACGUUGGG